AGUGAACGCUGGCGGCAGGCCUAAUACAUGCAAGUCGAACGGCAGCACAGCAGAGCUUGCUCUGUGGGUGGCGAGUGGCGGACGGGUGAGGAAUACGUGGGAAUCUGCCCAGUCGUGGGGAUAACGUAGGGAAACUUACGCUAAUACCGCAUGCGCCCUUCGGGGAAAGCCGGGGACCUUCGGGCCUGGCGCGAUUGGAUGAGCCCACGUCGGAUUAGCUAGUUGGCGGGGUAAAGGCCCACCAAGGCGACGAUCCGUAGCUGGUCUGAGAGGAUGAUCAGCCACACUGGAACUGAGACACGGUCCAGACUCCUACGGGAGGCAGCAGUAGGGAAUAUUGGACAAUGGGCGCAAGCCUGAUCCAGCCAUGCCGCGUGAGUGAAGAAGGCCCUCGGGUUGUAAAGCUCUUUUGUCCGG
rnacentral:rRNA from 1 species